GAAACAUGAUUUGUGGAAACAGAGACCUGCCAUUAUAUUCCAAUGUGAAUGUCAACCAAAAGCAUCUCUGAAUAUGGAUCAUGCUGGCACCAGUGAAGACAGAUUUUCAGGAGGCCAGAUUGAAGUCAAGGAGAAUAGCACCAAUCCAGACACUAUAUAAUCAGGGUCUGCGUUGCAGCAAUACAGCAUGAAGAGGAUGUGUCAGAAUUAAAGCCUGUGCAACAGAUAAUACACCCCUUACUGUCUGUACCCUGGGAGUGAGAGCAGAGGAGUGUGCCCACUGUCCUUGGGAUACCACUGGAAAAUGAAAAGAACCAAGAAGACGGAAUCAAGGCCGAUAAAGAACAAGCUCAGUGUGGUAGAACAGAACAAAAAAAAAAAUCAGGGUAAUCCUUGGGAGUGACCGAAUGAGAAGUCACCCUCAGUUCAAAAUGCAAUGCAUUUAAAAUGCAAACAGACUCCUGGAAUGCAUUAAACACAC